rnacentral:rRNA from 1 species
AGGACGAACGCUGGCGGCGUGCUUAACACAUGCAAGUCGAGCGGAAAGGCCCUUCGGGGUACUCGAGCGGCGAACGGGUGAGUAACACGUGAGCAACCUGCCCUUGGCUCUGGGAUAGCCUCCGGAAACGGGGAUUAAUACCGGACAUUCACUUUCUCCUGCAUGGGGGGUUGGUGGAAAGUUUUUCGGCCAGGGAGGGGCUCGCGGCCUAUCAGCUUGUUGGCGGGGUAACGGCCCACCAAGGCGACGACGGGUAGCCGGCCUGAGAGGGCGAUCGGCCACACUGGGACUGAGACACGGCCCAGACUCCUACGGGAGGCAGCAGUGGGGAAUAUUGCACAAUGGGCGCAAGCCUGAUGCAGCGACGCCGCGUGGGGGAUGAAGGCCUUCGGGUUGUAAACCCUUUCACCAGGAGCGAAUUCAGACGGUACCUGGGAAGAAGCGCCGGCUAACUACGCGCCAGCAGCCGC